rnacentral:rRNA from 1 species
AGAGUUUGAUCAUGGCUCAGGACGAACGCUGGCGGCGUGCCUAACACAUGCAAGUCGAACGGGGUGAGGCCCUUCGGGACCUUUACCUAGUGGCGAACGGGUGAGUAACGCGUGAGGAACCUGCCUUUAAGUGGGGGACAACAGUUGGAAACGACUGCUAAUACCGCAUGAAGCUUUUGGGAGACAUCUCCUGGAAGCCAAAGCUUAAUGUGCUGAAAGAUGGCCUCGCGUCUGAUUAGCUAGUUGGUGGGGUAACGGCCCACCAAGGCGACGAUCAGUAGCCGGUCUGAGAGGAUGAACGGCCACAUUGGGACUGAGAUACGGCCCAGACUCCUACGGGAGGCAGCAGUGGGGAAUACUGGGCAAUGGGCGAAAGCCUGACCCAGCAACGCCGCGUGAAGGAAGAAGGCCUUCGGGUUGUAAACUUCUUUUACCAGGGACGAAGGACGUGACGGUACCUGGAGAAAAAGCAACGGCUAACUACGUGCCAGCAGCCGCGGUAAUACGUAGGUUGCAAGCGUUGUCCGGAUUUACUGGGUGUAAAGGGCGUGUAGGCGGAGAUGCAAGUUAGGAGUGAAAUCUAUGGGCUCAACCCAUAAACUGCUUCUAAAACUGUAUCCCUUGAGUAUCGGAGAGGCAAGCGGAAUUCCUAGUGUAGCGGUGAAAUGCGUAGAUAUUAGGAGGAACACCAGUGGCGAAGGCGGCUUGCUGGACGACAACUGACGCUGAGGCGCGAAAGCGUGGGGAGCAAACAGGAUUAGAUACCCUGGUAGUCCACGCUGUAAACGAUGAAUACUAGGUGUGGGGGGACUGACCCCCUCCGUGCCGCAGUUAACACAAUAAGUAUUCCACCUGGGGAGUACGACCGCAAGGUUGAAACUCAAAGGAAUUGACGGGGGCCCGCACAAGCAGUGGAUUAUGUGGUUUAAUUCGACGCAACGCGAAGAACCUUACCAGGACUUGACAUCCAACUAACGAAGUAGAGAUACAUCAGGUGCCCUUCGGAGAAAGUUGAGACAGGUGGUGCAUGGUUGUCGUCAGCUCGUGUCGUGAGAUGUUGGGUUAAGUCCCGCAACGAGCGCAACCCCUAUUGUUAGUUGCUACGAAAGAGCACUCUAGCGAGACUGCCGUUGACAUAACGGAGGAAGGCGGGGACGACGUCAAAUCAUCAUGCCCCUUAUGUCCUGGGCUACACACGUAAUACAAUGGUGGCCAGCAGAGGAAGCGAAGCCGUGAGGCAGAGCAAACCCCUAAAAGCCAUCUCAGUUCGGAUUGCAGGCUGCAACUCGCCUGCAUGAAGCUGGAAUUGCUAGUAAUCGCGGAUCAGCAUGCCGCGGUGAAUACGUUCCCGGGCCUUGUACACACCGCCCGUCACACCAUGAGAGUCGGGAACACCCGGAGUCCGUAGUCUAACCGCAAGGGGGGCGCGGCCGAAGGUGGGUCCGGUAAUUGGGGUGAAGUCGUAACAAGGUA